AAUUUCAGCUGAAAAUAUCAUGAACAUAAAAGUUGUAGAACUCAUCAAGAGCUACAACUUUUAUUUUGGUCAUUUCUUCAUCCAACAAAGUGAUAGUAAUAUUGUUUACAAAAUUUGCAUAUUUCUCUUAUAGCUUAUGAAACCUUAUGCGAGAUAUGCUAAUUUUGUAAACAAUGUUACUAUCGCUUUGUCAGAUGAAGAAAUGACUAAAAUAAAAGUUAUAGAUCUUGAUAAGUUAUACAACUUUGUUGUUGAUGACUUUUUGAGUUGAAAUC
rnacentral:pre_miRNA from 1 species